rnacentral:rRNA from 1 species
GACGAACGCUGGCGGCGUGCUUAACACAUGCAAGUCGAACGAAGAGCGAUGGAAGCUUGCUUCUAUCAAUCUUAGUGGCGAACGGGUGAGUAACGCGUAAUCAACCUGCCCUUCAGAGGGGGACAACAGUUGGAAACGACUGCUAAUACCGCAUACGAUCUAAUCUCGGCAUCGAGGAUGGAUGAAAGGUGGCCUCUAUCUAUAAGCUAUCACUGAAGGAGGGGAUUGCGUCUGAUAGCUAGUUGGAGGGGUAACGGCCCACCAAGGCGAUGAUCAGUAGCCGGUCUGAGAGGAUGAACGGCCACAUUGGGACCGAGACACGGCCCAGACUCCUACGGGAGGCAGCAGUGGGGAAUCUUCCGCAAUGGACGAAAGUCUGACGGAGCAACGCCGCGUGAGUGAUGACGGCCUUCGGGUUGUAAAGCUCUGUUAAUCGGGACGAAAGGCCUUCUUGCGAAUAGUUAGAAGGAUUGACGGUACCGGAAUAGAAAGCUACGGCUAACUACGUGCCAGCAGCCGCGGUAAUACGUAGGUGGCAAGCGUUGUCCGGAAUUAUUGGGCGUAAAGCGCGCGCAGGCGGAUUGGUCAGUCUGUCUUAAAAGUUCGGGGCUUAACCCCGUGAUGGGAUGGAAACUGCCAAUCUAGAGUAUCGGAGAGGAAAGUGGACUUCCUAGUGUAGCGGUGAAAUGCGUAGAUAUUAGGAAGAACACCAGUGGCGAAGGCGACUUUCUGGACGAAAACUGACGCUGAGGCGCGAAAGCCAGGGGAGCGAACGGGAUUAGAUACCCCGGUAGUCCUGGCCGUAA